rnacentral:tRNA from 1 species
CCCAUGGAGGACUAGUGGUUAGGCCACAGUGCUCUCACUGCUGCAUCCUGGGUUCGAUUCCUGGCCAGGGGU